rnacentral:rRNA from 1 species
AAACUUUGUCCACUCCUUACGGGGGAGACAGUCAUGAGACGUGAGUAUAAGACCUGAGUGUAAAGACCUUAGGGUGAAGCAAUUGGAGGGCAAGCUUUGGUGCCAGCAGCCGCGGUAACUCCAACUCCAAGAGUGUCUAUGGUGGAUGCUGCAGUUAAAGGGUCCGUAGUCGUGAAUGCAAUUAAAUGUCGUUGUUCAAUAGCGAUGAGUUUGCUAAUGUUUGCGGAACGGAUAGGGAGUGUAGUAUAGACUGGCGAAGAAUGAAAUCUCAAGACCCAGUUUGGACUAACGGAGGCGAAGGCGACACUCUUAGACGUAUCUUAGGAUCAAGGACGAAGGCAGGAGUAUCGAAAGUGAUUAGACACCGCUGUAGUUCCUGCAGUAAACUAUGCCGACAGCCUGUGUGUGAGAAUACGUGGGCGGGAGAAAUCUUAGUGUUCGGGCUCUGGGGAUAGUACGCUCGCAAGGGUGAAACUUAAAGCGAAAUUGACGGAAGGACACUACCAGGAGUGGAUUGUGCUGCUUAAUUUAACUCAACGCGGGAAAACUUACCAGGGUCAAGUCAUUCGUUGAUCGAAUACGUGAGAAUGGCAGGAGUGGUGCAUGG